UGAGUAAAGAAUGAAGGAGUAGCAACAACAAAGAAUUAAAAAAAAAAAAAAGAAAAAGAAUGAGGAUAACAAUUGUGGCAUAUUUCUGAGUCAAGAAGGAAGGUUAUGAUGAUAUUUCAGUAUUAGGAAUACUGGAUUGAUGAACAUGGCUUGCCAAUAAAAAUCCCUUAGAAUGUAGGAAACCAGAGAUUAUUUUGACCUGACAUUUAUUCCUGUAAAUCCUUUUGGAAUACUUACCAGCAUCUAGAAGGACUACUAAGAACCCUACUGGGAUGUGAUCUCUCCUGAGAAAGUUAGGAUUUCUUUUAUUCUCUGUGACAGGACACUGGGAAAUGACACUCAGUAGUUCUCCCUUGUCAUCAGACAUUCUAUCAUGCAUCAUAGUUUUCUAGGUUGUUUAUGCUUCCUGAAGGGAGGCACCAGUGUUUUCUUUGCAUUCUCCACAGUGCCCAGCUCUGUGCUUUGCUAGGUACUCUGUCAACAUGUGUUGAAAUGAACGUGAGCAGUGGCAAGUAGAGGAAGAGCAUGGUUGAGCUCCUGAUGUGCAUAUAACAGGAUCCUCAGUUAAGGUCAUGAUGGGAUAGCCAUCCUAAGAGUAGCCUGGAGGUAUUGAUGAAUGGUUCCCGACUUGAGGGAGGGUGUGGGACUACUGGGGAGAGGACUAUUGGAAUGUUGAGAAAUAGUCUUUGGAUGGAAGUUUGUAAUUAUUAUGGGAUGCUCUGGGAUAAUUUAAACUUUAUGCAAAUGUUUCAUCUGGUUAACAUGGUAUUUGGUUGGUCUUACUCAAAAUUUAAGAGCAUCUGGAAUAUACCUGGAUUUUGGUGGGAUUGAGUGGUACCCCAGGUCUCAGCUCCUGAGUGUCUGGAAAUGAUGAAAUGAUGGAACCUAGCAUCUUGGACUUCAAGAAACUUUAGGCCAGGAUACUGCUUUGGCCCAGAAAGGAAUAUUAGGUGUGUCCAAGUGGGGGCAGGGACAGGGCAGUGUGGGUCGCCUGCCCCACCCUGUCUGUUCUGGGUGUUGGAACAGACAGCUUCUGGAGAUGGGGGAGGUAUGAAUAUGAAUAUUAUGGGAUGCCUGACUGGAAGGCUGCUAGAGUGGAGAUAAAAUAUUAUGGGAUGUAACACUGGGUUGUGCUGGAUGUAGUACAGUAUAUGUCUGGUUGACUAUGGGCUCCUUGAAAUUAUGGGAUUUCAGGGUGUGGAUGAUAGAGUAAAAUUAUUAUGGGAUAUUUUCCCAGUGUUUAGGGGUAAGAAGAUUUAGGUGUCCAUCUGUGGGAUGACUAUAGGACUACUGUAGGGGUUAUCUCUUUGAUAGGGAAGGAGUGGUUAUUAUGGGCCAUGGAGCUAGAAGGAAAAGCUGGGGGUAGUGUUGUGAGCAUCUAGACCCUAGCCUGCAGGAAUAGAGGGCAGUUCUAGGGGGGUGGUUAUUAUGGGAUGUAAGUACAGAAAGUGGGAGACUGAUUAUUACUGGAUGUGUGUGGGAGGAGGCCGAGUGUCCGUUGUUGUAGUAUGUGUGUGUGUGUGUGUGUGGGGGGGUGAGUUUCUGACUAUUAUGGGAUAUCAAACUGGGGGUGGAUGAAGGGUGGUUAUUAUGGGAUGUCUGUGGGGGAUGGGAUGAGUAUUAUGGGAUAUGAGGCUCAAGU
rnacentral:lncRNA from 1 species